rnacentral:rRNA from 2 species
UGAGAGGUCUAAAAAACCACUAGUUGGGGGUCUCUUCCCCUCUAGUAGUUCCUCACAGUUUUGUGCAAAGUCGGGUCAACUUGGUUGGCUCUGCCUUGUGCUGUAGAUCUGGUUGUUGGCAUAGAGACCCUCCUUUUAGGAGACUUGUGCCACUACUAAGAUCUAGGCUGCUUGAAAAGAGACGUAUGGACCCUUCUUUCAGGAGACCUAUGUCUCGAGUCAAAGCAAGCAAGGCAAGCCUUUGGGGCUCUAGUACUAACUAUCCCCAAAGGUGUUUAUUCUUCUCGUGUAAACCAUGAUGUACGAAAAAGUUAGUUGUUAACUUAAAAACAACUCUUGGCAAUGGAUCUCUUGGUUCUCGCAUCGAUGAAGAGCGUAGCAAAGUGCGAUAAUUAUUGCGACUUGCAUUCAUAGCGAAUCAUCGAGUUCUCGAACGCAUCUUGCCCCUAGUAGUCAAUCUACUAGGCACAGUUGUUUCAGUAUCUGCAACUACCAAUCAGUUCAACUUGGUUCUUUGAACCUAAGCGAGCUGGAAAUGGGCUUGUGUUGAUGGCAUUCAGUUGCUGUCAUGGCCUUAAAUACAUUUAGUCCUAGGCAAUUGGCUUUAGUCAUUUGCCGGAUGUAGACUCUAGAGUGCCUGAGG